rnacentral:rRNA from 1 species
AGUGAACGCUGGCGGUAGGCCUAACACAUGCAAGUCGAACGGUAGCAGAGUAAGAGCUGGUUCUUACGGGUGGAGAGUGGCGGAGGGGUGAGGAAUACGUGGGAAUGUACUUUUUAGGGGGGGAUAACGUAGGGAAGCUUGCGAUAAUACCGCAUACGACCUAAGGGUGAAAGCAGGGGAUCUGCGCACCUUGCGCGAUUGAAUGGGCCGAUGUCGGAUUAGCGAGUUGGAGGGGUAACGGCCCACCGAGGCGACGAUCCGUAGCUGGUCGGAGAGGAUGAUCAGCCACACUGGAACUGAGACACGGUCCAGACUCCUACGGGAGGCAGCAGUGGGGAAUAUUGGACAAUGGGCGCAAGCCUGAUCCAGCCAUGCCGCGUGGAUGAAGAAGGCCUUCGGGUUGUAAAGCCCUUUUGUUGGGAAAGAAAAGCAGCAGGUUAAUACCCCGCUGUUCUGACGGUACCCAAAGAAGAAGCACCGGCUAACUUCGUG